UGGAUUAAUGAGGACAACUCUUUGCAUCUGAGUCUUGGAUGAUGAGCACUACAGGUCUGGAAUGCCGAGAUCAAA
ensembl:snoRNA